rnacentral:lncRNA from 1 species
AUGAGGAUGAUGGGGUGAUGGAGGUGAGGAGGAGGAUGGGGGUGAUGGCGCGAAGGGGGUGACAGGGAUGGUUGGGGCGAUGGGGGGUGAUGGGGAUGAUGAGGGUGAUGAGGAUGGUGGAGGUGAGGAUGAUGAUUGGGAUGAUGGGGAUGAUGAGGUGAGGAAGAGAAUGGAUGGGAGGAUGAUGGGAGUGAUGGAGUGAAGGAGAUGAUGGGGAUGAAGGGGAUGACAAGGAUAAUUGGGAUGGUGGGGAUGGUGGGGUUGAGGAGGAGGAUGGGGAUGAUGGGAGUGAUGGGGUGAUGAGGAUGAUGAGGAUGAUGGGGAUGAGGAGGAGAGUGGAUGAGAGGAUGAUGGGGAUGAAGGGGAUGAUUGAGGUGGUGGGGGUGAUGGGGUUGAGGAGGAGGAUGGGGAUGAUGGGGGUGAUGGGGUGGUGGGGAUGAGGGAAUGGUGGAAGUGAGGGGGGAAUGGGGAUGAAGAGGAUAAAUGGGAAUGUUGGGGGUGAUGGGGUGAAGGGGAUGAUGAUGAGGAUGGGGAUGAAGGGGAUGACAGAAGCGAUGGGGUGAUGAAGAUGAAGGAGAUAAUGAAGAUGUUGGGGUGAUGGGAAUGAUGAGGAUGAUGGCGGUGAUGAGGAUGAAGGAGAUAAUGAAGAUGUUGGGGUGAUGGGAAUGAUGAGGAUGAUGGCAGUGAGGAGGAUGAUGGCGGUGAUGAAGAUGGAGAUAAUGAAGAUGUUGGGGUGAUGGGAAUGAUGAGGAUGAUGGCGGUGAAGGUGAGGAUGAUGAUGAGGAUGAUGAGGAUGAUGAGGAUUAUGGGGAUGAAGGAGAGUGAUGAGGGUGAUGGGGACAUCAAGCCAACCCUGCCCCAAAGGAGACCCCACUGUCCCUUCCUGCUGGCUCCUCCCAUCCCUGCCACACCCUGCUUGGCUCCACCCAAAGGUGCCACACCCCAAUUGGCUCCACCCAAAGGUGCCACACCC